GGGGGCGUUACGGUUUCGACGGGGAGUGCUGUGAGGGGCGUGGCGAGCCGAGAUCCCACCCGCUCGUUAAACGGUGGAAGCACGAUAAGUGCCGAUAACUCACUAGCAUACGCAGCCUAGUUAACUAGGUUGCCGUCCGACCCGGGCUUAUUCCGGGAGCCUGGCAAGGGCGUCAUUUAAGCCGGGAUGCACGUGCGCCAAUUCUCGGAGGCGCUCGCCAAGAUAAUCGAGAUAGCCCUCGUGCAGCGCGCUCGUGCGCGGUACGUUGGGUGAAAGCAAGUACGCGGGCUACGCUCGUAGAAGCGCGCCAAGUGGUCUUUCCGGACCCGGGUUCGACUCCCGGCGCCUCCACCA
rnacentral:tmRNA from 1 species